rnacentral:lncRNA from 1 species
UUUUUGUAUUAGUUCACCUAUGUAUUGAGAGAGAUCCAUUGUAGGUGAGGAUUCGGGAGAGCUAUGUAUUUUGGAUGAAAAAUGUAAUCAUUUAAAGAAAAGGAUGUAAAUGAGAAUGAUGAAACUAUUGUAAUAGUUAAUAAAGUACUCUCUUUAUUCCACUCGUAUAUCUUGUGGAUUACUUGCUCUUCUUGUUGUUGGCACUGUUUGUGCCCUCGUUGAAUGUGUAUGUUUAGAAUUUAAUUUCCUGGGUAAAUUCUUGUACACAUUCCUGUUGUUGAGCCUUGGGCGGACAGGGGAGGUGCUGUCCGUUCGGCGGUCCGUCGCCACGGCCGAAUCGUGCCAAAUUGGUAGUGGUUUCGGGGCGGGGCGUGACAUUAAGAGUAACAAAGAAACUGAGUAACUUUGAGAAAUCAGAAUAAUAAUUACAAAUAUGACUAGUAUUACAUAAAAGAAAGUACAAAACAGGAUACGAAUGCGAAUGAAGUAACAAGUUACUAAUGCGAAUGAAGUAACAAGUAACGUUUAUUUCAGCUCAUGUUUCAAUCACAAACAAAACAAUCAGAUUUGAAGGGCUUCAAAUCUUAUUUUCUUA